CGAGGGGAUGCAGCAGCAAUUCAUGUUUUGAAGUGCUUUAAACGGUUCAAAACGUGAGGCGCUGCUAUACCCCCUUGCGAGGAA
rnacentral:pre_miRNA from 8 species